CUAAGGAAUGCGGCGGCGGCGGCUCCGCAUAACCACGGGGUCAGAGGUCACGGCUCCGGGAUCCGGGCUCCGAGCGCCUCCGCUUGCCCGGCGCUCACGAGGAACCCGCACGGCGACUGGCGACCGGCGGGGAUGGGGAGACGCGGCUUGCCUUUCGACGACGUCCGGGUGACAAGAAGCAGGUCUUUCUCCUUUGAUCCGCCCCUAAAUGACUCACUGCCGCAUAAGAGUCAUACCAGUAAAAACGGUUAUUGCUUGAUUGACCGCCCAGACGGAUCCUCAUUUCCUCUUGUGCUUUCAAGCCGCGGUGUAUAUUUGCAAAGGCUGCACCUGCAGCCUGCAGCAAAAUUACCAACUGGUGAACUUGGUGCUAGAUAGUACGCACUCCAGAAGCUGAGGGAGGACUGCCCUGAGUUUGAAGCCAGCCUCGACUAGAGCGAGACCCUGUCUCACAACAACAGAGGGCUGGUGAGUUGGCUCAGCAGUUAAGUGUGUUUCCUGUGCAAGCUUAAGGUUUGAGAGGAUCCGAGACCACCAGAAUUUGAAUCUCCAGACUCCAUAUAAACAGCUGAGUGUGGCCACACACGCCUAUAACCCCAGUCCUAUGGGGAGAAAAGACCAGAAACUUGCUGGAGCUCAGGAAUGGCGAGCUCUGGAAUCAGUAAGAAGUUCUAUCACAAGAAAAAAGAGGUGGGUAAGUGAUGAGAGGGACACGCACUAUUCUCUGGUUGCUCAGCCAAGUUCACACAGCACUACACGUAAAUACACAGGGGACCACAUCAGUACACACAUACAUGUGCACACACUACACACUAUGCACACACACACAAAGAAAGGGAAAAAAAGGGAGAGGGAGAGAGAAGGGAAGAACAGUGGAAAGUGCUGGAGUGUAAAGAGGGCUGCACUUUACUCAAGUAAUGUAUAUGAUAUAUUCUUGUGCCCGUCAAAGAUUCUUCUUUUUUUUUACUUGAACUCACAGUGAUCCUCCUAUCUCUGCUUCCCAAGUGCUGGGACUAAAGGUGUGUGCCACCACACCUGGCAAGGGCUCUUCUUACAUCUACAAAAUAUGCCAAAGACUUGAGCCUCUUCCCAUCCAGUUGCCCUCCACCCCACCACCUCAGACCUCACAGGAAUGUCCCAUGUUCCUGUAAUUCCUCUUGUCUGGAAUGCUCUUCCCUCCUUCCUCUGUGAGUAAAAACUACUCACUCUUUUUGUUGUUGUUUUGUUUUUGAGGCAAGCCCAACAUAAUGGCCUUUUUACAAGAGAGCAAGAGACAGAGAGAGAAUUGG